CUACGGGAGGCUCCAGUGGGGGAUAUUGCACAAUGGGGGAAACCCUGAUGCAGCAACGCCGCGUGAAGGAAGACGGUUUUCGGAUUGUAAACUUCUAUCAGCAGGGAAGAAAAUGACGGUACCUGACUAAGAAGCCCCGGCUAACUACGUGCCAGCAGCCGCGGUAAUACGUAGGGGGCAAGCGUCAUCCGGAAUUACUGGGUGUAAAGGGUACGUAGGCGGCUGAUCAAGUCAGAUGUGAAAGCCCGGAGCUCAACUCCGGGACUGCAUUUGAAACUGGUCGGCUAGAGUGCAGGAGAGGAAAGUGGAAUUCCUAGUGUAGCGGUGAAAUGCGUAGAUAUUAGGAAGAACACCAGUGGCGAAGGCGGCUUUCUGGACUGUAACUGACGCUGAGGUACGAAAGCGUGGGGAGCGAACAGGAUUAGAUACCCCCGUAGUC
rnacentral:rRNA from 1 species